rnacentral:lncRNA from 11 species
CCGCCUCCUGCUUUGGCAGGCUCUGUAUGGCAGCUCCAGCCAGCCUCGCUGCCCGUUGGAGCGCAGCUGGCCUGGUGCUGGAGUUCUUGCCUGACAUGGUUGAGUAGACCUCUUUCAAUUGGGGUGAGAAGCAAUGCUGCCUCCCGUCAAUGUCCUCCUCCCUCACAUUCCAGGCCUGGGCGGUGGAGGAGUUGGCCGUCGAGGCCCGAGCGGGCUUCCUGGUACCUUCUGGUGCAGCCACUUCUCCACAAUGUUCUGGAGUACUGGCACAUCAUGGACACUGUGGGAAUCUGAAUAUCUGCCCGCUAAGUGAGAAGAUUUGAACUAGGGC